GCGGGCUUCGUCUCGGGAAAGCUACACCCAGGGGCGGUAUUACCCCAGGGUGAGCCACGCUCAGGGGCGGGACAAGUCCAGAACCCGGAACUGGAAGGAUGUUCGCAGUUCGCCAGUUUUCAAACAAGCCAACAAGAGCUUCAACCACGGGGACCUAGCGAGAUCACAAGCAGGCAGAGAGCAGGCAGAGAGAGAGGAAGGGAAGCAGGCUCCCUGCCAAGCAGAGAGCUGGAUGUGGGGCUCCGUCACAGGACCCUGGGAUCAUGACCUGAGCUGAAGGCAGAAGCGUUAACCCACUGAGCC